rnacentral:rRNA from 1 species
UACAGAGGGUGCAAGCGUUGCUCGGAAUCAUUGGGCGUAAAGGGCAGGUAGGUGGUCUGAUUUGUCUGGAGGUGAAAGCCUUGGGCUUAACCCAAGAAGUGCCCCGGAAACGGUCAGACUUUGAGUCUUGGAGAGGGUUGCGGAAUUCCCGGUGUAGCGGUGAAAUGCGUAGAGAUCGGGAGGAACACCAGCGGCGAAGGCGGCAACCUGGACAAGCACUGACACUCAACUGCGAAAGCGUGGGGAGCGAACAGG